GAUGAACGCUGGCGGCGUGCCUAAUACAUGCAAGUCGAGCGAACAGACGAGGAGCUUGCUCCUCUGACGUUAGCGGCGGACGGGUGAGUAACACGUGGAUAACCUACCUAUAAGACUGGGAUAACUUCGGGAAACCGGAGCUAAUACCGGAUAAUAUAUUGAACCGCAUGGUUCAAUAGUGAAAGACGGUUUUGCUGUCACUUAUAGAUGGAUCCGCGCCGCAUUAGCUAGUUGGUAAGGUAACGGCUUACCAAGGCGACGAUGAGUAGCCGACCUGAGAGGGUGAUCGGCCACACUGGAACUGAGACACGGUCCAGACUCCUACGGGAGGCAGCAGUAGGGAAUCUUCCGCAAUGGGCGAAAGCCUGACGGAGCAACGCCGCGUGAGUGAUGAAGGUCUUCGGAUCGUAAAACUCUGUUAUUAGGGAAGAACAAAUGUGUAAGUAACUAUGCACGUCUUGACGGUACCUAAUCAGAAAGCCACGGCUAACUACGUG
rnacentral:rRNA from 1 species